rnacentral:tRNA from 1 species
AGGUCCAUAGCUCAGUGGUAGAGCAAUUGACUGCAGAACAAUAGGUCACAGGUUCGAACCCGGUUGGGCCCU